rnacentral:miRNA from 1 species
CGGUGCACCUCUGCAGCCCGCA